rnacentral:rRNA from 1 species
UACGUAGGUGGCAAGCGUUAUCCGGAAUUAUUGGGCGUAAAGCGCGCGCAGGUGGUUUCUUAAGUCUGAUGUGAAAGCCCACGGCUCAACCGUGGAGGGUCAUUGGAAACUGGGAGACUUGAGUGCAGAAGAGGAAAGUGGAAUUCCAUGUGUAGCGGUGAAAUGCGUAGAGAUGUGGAGGAACACCAGUGGCGAAGGCGACUUUCUGGCUUAUAACUGACGCUGAGGCGCGAAAGCGUGGGGAGCAAACAGG